UACGAAGGGGGCUAGCGUUGCUCGGAAUCACUGGGCGUAAAGCGCACGUAGGCGGCUUUCUAAGUCAGGGGUGAAAUCCUGGAGCUCAACUCCAGAACUGCCUUUGAUACUGGAGAGCUUGAGUCCGGGAGAGGUGAGUGGAACUCCGAGUGUAGAGGUGAAAUUCGUAGAUAUUCAGAAGAACACCAGUGGCGAAGGCGGCUCACUGGCCCGGUACUGACGCUGAGGUGCGAAAGCGUGGGGAGCAAACAGG
rnacentral:rRNA from 1 species